GGUUAAGCGACUAAGCGUACACGGUGGAUGCCCUGGCAGUCAGAGGCGAUGAAGGACGUGCUAAUCUGCGAAAAGCGUCGGUAAGGUGAUAUGAACCGUUAUAACCGGCGAUGUCCGAAUGGGGAAACCCAGUGCAAUUCGUUGCACUAUCGUUAACUGAAUACAUAGGUUAACGAGGCGAACCGGGGGAACUGAAACAUCUAAGUACCCCGAGGAAAAGAAAUCAACCGAGAUUCCCCCAGUAGCGGCGAGCGAACGGGGAGCAGCCCAGAGUCUGAAUCAGCUUGUGUGUUAGUGGAACGGUCUGGAAAGUCCGACGGUACAGGGUGAUAGUCCCGUACACCAAAAUGCACAGGUUGUGAACUCGAAGAGUAGGGCGGGACACGUGGUAUCCUGUCUGAAUAUGGGGGGACCAUCCUCCAAGGCUAAAUACUCCUGACUGACCGAUAGUGAACCAGUACCGUGAGGGAAAGGCGAAAAGAACCCCGGCGAGGGGAGUGAAAAAGAACCUGAAACCGUGUACGUACAAGCAGUGGGAGCACCUUCGGGUGUGACUGCGUACCUUUUGUAUAAUGGGUCAGCGACUUAUAUUCUGUAGCAAGGUUAACCGUAUAGGGGAGCCGCAGGGAAACCGAGUCUUAACUGGGCGUUAAGUUGCAGGGUAUAGACCCGAAACCCGGUGAUCUAGCCAUGGGCAGGUUGAAGGUUGGGUAACACUAACUGGAGGACCGAACCGACUAAUGUUGAAAAAUUAGCGGAUGACUUGUGGCUGGGGGUGAAAGGCCAAUCAAACCGGGAGAUAGCUGGUUCUCCCCGAAAGCUAUUUAGGUAGCGCCUCGUGAACUCAUCUUCGGGGGUAGAGCACUGUUUCGGCUAGGGGGUCAUCCCGACUUACCAACCCGAUGCAAACUACGAAUACCGAAGAAUGUUAUCACGGGAGACACACGGCGGGUGCUAACGUCCGUCGUGAAGAGGGAAACAACCCAGACCGCCAGCUAAGGUCCCAAAGUCAUGGUUAAGUGGGAAACGAUGUGGGAAGGCACAGACAGCCAGGAUGUUGGCUUAGAAGCAGCCAUCAUUUAAAGAAAGCGUAAUAGCUCACUGGUCGAGUCGGCCUGCGCGGAAGAUGUAACGGGGCUAAACCAUGCACCGAAGCUGGCAGCGACACUAUGUGUUGUUGGGUAGGGGAGCGUUCUGUAAGCCUGCGAAGGUGUGCUGUGAGGCAUGCUGGAGGUAUCAGAAGUGCGAAUGCUGACAUAAGUAACGAUAAAGCGGGUGAAAAGCCCGCUCGCCGGAAGACCAAGGGUUCCUGUCCAACGUUAAUCGGGGCAGGGUGAGUCGACCCCUAAGGCGAGGCCGAAAGGCGUAGUCGAUGGGAAACAGGUUAAUAUUCCUGUACUUGGUGUUACUGCGAAGGGGGACGGAGAAGGCUAUGUUAGCCGGGCGACGGUUGUCCCGGUUUAAGCAUGUAGGCUGAUUAUCCAGGCAAAUCCGGAUAAUCAAGGCUGAGGUGUGAUGACGAGGCACUACGGUGCUGAAGUAACAAAUGCCCUGCUUCCAGGAAAAGCCUCUAAGCAUCAGGUAACAUCAAAUCGUACCCCAAACCGACACAGGUGGUCAGGUAGAGAAUACCAAGGCGCUUGAGAGAACUCGGGUGAAGGAACUAGGCAAAAUGGUGCCGUAACUUCGGGAGAAGGCACGCUGGUGUGUAGGUGAAGCCCCUGCGGGUGGAGCUGAGACCAGUCGAAGAUACCAGCUGGCUGCAACUGUUUAUUAAAAACACAGCACUGUGCAAACACGAAAGUGGACGUAUACGGUGUGACGCCUGCCCGGUGCCGGAAGGUUAAUUGAUGGGGUUAUCCGUAAGGAGAAGCUCUUGAUCGAAGCCCCGGUAAACGGCGGCCGUAACUAUAACGGUCCUAAGGUAGCGAAAUUCCUUGUCGGGUAAGUUCCGACCUGCACGAAUGGCGUAAUGAUGGCCAGGCUGUCUCCACCCGAGACUCAGUGAAAUUGAACUCGCUGUGAAGAUGCAGUGUACCCGCGGCAAGACGGAAAGACCCCGUGAACCUUUACUAUAGCUUGACACUGAACAUUGAGCCUUGAUGUGUAGGAUAGGUGGGAGGCUUUGAAGCGUGGACGCCAGUCUGCGUGGAGCCAACCUUGAAAUACCACCCUUUAAUGUUUGAUGUUCUAACGUUGGCCCCUGACCGGGGUUGCGGACAGUGUCUGGUGGGUAGUUUGACUGGGGCGGUCUCCUCCCAAAGCGUAACGGAGGAGCACGAAGGUUAGCUAAUCCUGGUCGGACAUCAGGAGGUUAGUGCAAUGGCAUAAGCUAGCUUGACUGCGAGCGUGACGGCGCGAGCAGGUGCGAAAGCAGGUCAUAGUGAUCCGGUGGUUCUGAAUGGAAGGGCCAUCGCUCAACGGAUAAAAGGUACUCCGGGGAUAACAGGCUGAUACCGCCCAAGAGUUCAUAUCGACGGCGGUGUUUGGCACCUCGAUGUCGGCUCAUCACAUCCUGGGGCUGAAGUAGGUCCCAAGGGUAUGGCUGUUCGCCAUUUAAAGUGGUACGCGAGCUGGGUUUAGAACGUCGUGAGACAGUUCGGUCCCUAUCUGCCGUGGGCGCUGGAGAAUUGAGGGGGGCUGCUCCUAGUACGAGAGGACCGGAGUGGACGCAUCACUGGUGUUCGGGUUGUCAUGCCAAUGGCACUGCCCGGUAGCUAAAUGCGGAAGAGAUAAGUGCUGAAAGCAUCUAAGCACGAAACUUGCCCCGAGAUGAGUUCUCCCUGAGACUUUAAGUCUCCUGAAGGAACGUUAAAGACGAUGACGUUGAUAGGCCGGGUGUGUAAGCGCAGCGAUGCGUUGAGCUAACCGGUACUAAUGAACCGUGAGGCUUAACCUU
rnacentral:rRNA from 1 species